CUUACAGGUGGGGUAUAACCUGACUUAGGCAGCAGAUGACUACGUAGCCUUCCAGCUAGUAAUGGAAAUUGUUGUAUAACAGGAAAAGAUACUUGAGUGUACCAAGAGCUUCCUUUGGUCUGAAAUCAUCGUCACUGACUAAAUAUUGUAAAGUCAAAUGUGACCUGGCCAUAGAUAACACCAAAUCAAAUAAAGGGCUAGCUUCCUGCCUACUCCGAAGUGGAAAUCAUAAAAGCAUGUUGGCUAAAUUAGACUUGGCUAAAUUGGAAUUCAAAGAGGACAAGGAUAAGAACUAAAUAACAGUUGUAGCAAAGGUAAGCUCUACAAGUGAGUAAUAACCUAAGAAUCAGGGGAUACCCUGAAUCAGAGGGGGAAGGCAUCACCUGUUGCAAUUCCUUCUAGUGUCAUCCCUAAAGCUCCUUCACUCUCUAUUGAAUUUCACAGAUUUUUUUACUCUAUCCCUAACAAAUCCUUCUCACAAGUAUUCUUGCGGUUUAUAUAGUUUAGAUUGCUUCAUUAUUACUUCACAUGCUAGACAAAUUACUUGGCCGGUCCAUGCCCUUGUUGGACUCUGCAUGCAAAUACCAUACCUUUGCACCCGAAAUCUAGUGAUGGAAACACUAAUGUACCUUGAUGCACUAAUUUAAGUUAAAGGAAAAGUCUGUGGUUAUGGUGCCAAGUAGUCACACUGUUUUAGUAUGGGUCCAUCGGCACCACUCCCCACCUCCACAACGAACAUCAAAGAGCUGGAACUCCUAAGCUGGAUGAAAUGCAGGGCAGGG